UACAGAGGGUGCAAGCGUUGUUCGGAAUUAUUGGGCGUAAAGGGCGCGUAGGCGGUGCCACAAGUCACCUGUGAAAUCUCCGGGCUUAACUCGGAGCCUGCAGGCGAAACUGUGGUGCUGGAGUGUGGGAGAGGUGCGUGGAAUUCCCAGUGUAGCGGUGAAAUGCGUAGAUAUCAGGAGGAACACCUGUGGCGAAAGCGGCGCACUGGACCACAACUGACGCUGAGGCGCGAAAGCUAGGGGAGCAAACAGG
rnacentral:rRNA from 1 species